UUUAAAUCACAUCCGUUCGAAUCGGAUAUUCUCUGUAAUUAUACGGAUUAGGGCCGGGUGGUAAGGCGCCUCGUUUGGGUCGGGGACUUCCUAUGUUCGAAUCAUAGUAAUCCGAAAAUAAAAAAUUUAUUAGAAAUGUAAAUGAUAUAAAUAUAAUUUAAUUAUAUAUAUGUAAUUAUAUAUAUAUUUAAGUAUACAAAGAGACUAUUUAUGGAGUGUAUAAGCUAUGUAUUAAAGAGAUUCUUUAAUUAAAUAAACUCUUAGAGAAAUUACUUGAUAAACGAAGCAAAGUGAAAUAUCUUAUUAGCUUCAGGAAAAGAAAUCAAACGAGAUUCUAUGAUUAGUGUGAAUGAAAAUAGACCAGCCUAUAAUAAUAAGUAAAAUGGCUUUUAAGCUGUUUGAAUUAUAUGGGGAACCUUCCUCAAAGGCUAAAUAUAAUACAUAAGCGAUAGUUAAAAGUACCGUGAGGGAAAAACAUUUGAAAUAGUAGUUUUAUAAGCAGCUCAAGCUAAAUUAAAAAAGCAAGAGCGUACCUUUUGCAUAAUGGGUCACCAAGUUAACUUUAGGUGCGAGCAAUAUUAAAUAUAGGCAUAGUUAAACCAAUCAUUAAAAUAAUGAAGAGUGUCUAAAGUUAGACCCGAAGCCUAGUGAUCUUACUAUAGUCAGGAUUAUAAAAGUCCGAACGGGUUAUCGUUGUAAAGAUAUCCGAAGAACUAUGGUAAGUGAGUGAAAGACAAUUCUGACUAGGAUAGCUGGUUUUCUGCGAAACCUAUAAUAGUAGGCAAUUUAAGUAACAUCUUAGUAGGUACAGAACUUAAUCUCAGACAAGGUGUAUAUUUUCAUAUGUAUUUAUGAAAAUGCAUUUUAUUUUGUAUACAUCGGGGGAUCGUGAAGAUUCUAUCGGUGAGUAUGUGGACUCGAAAUGACAAAGAUGAAUCUUGAGUUAUCAGACAUAGAAUGAUAAGGUUGUAUGUCAAAAGGGAAACAGCCCAGAACAAGAGUUAAGGUUCCAAAAUUAUUAUUAAGUGAAAUUAAGAAGGUUUUUAUUUAAGUCGACAAGGAAAUGGGCUUAGAAGCAGUCAUAAUUUAAAGAUCUCGUAAUAGAGCACUUGUUAAAUUUUAAAAGCAUCGAAAAUUUAACGGAUCUAAAUAAUAUACCGAAACCUUGUCCAUAUUUAACAAUAAAUAUAAGGCGCUAGCGAAGCUGUGCUAUUAUUGUUAUAGAAUGGGGUAGCAGAACGUUGAAUUAAUAUAAGAUUUUUUGGCUGCGCCAUAAAAUUAUGAUAUAAUUCAAGUGAUAAUGGUGACAUGAGUAACAAAAAAGCAAAGUCUCGCCUAAAGCUUAUGGCAAGGUAAAGUAACGGCCUCUAAGUUUAUAAUCUGAAGGUUAUAGCGAUGAGAAAAUCUUAUUACUUAAUAAAACAACAUUUUUAAGUGGAAAGUGUGCUGGAAGAAUGAGUAAGUAUAAAUAAAAAGCUAAAGUUUUUUAUUUAUAAACAACCGUACCUAAAUACUUUAAUACGUGUAAGCUAGUAGAGAAUACGAAGGCGCAAAUGAGAUAACAAUCAUAAAGGAACUCGGCAAAUUAACUACCGUAACUUAGGGAUAAGGAGGGCUCAAUAUUCUCGAUUAAUACGAGUAAAUAUGAAGAAGCAUAAAAUAAUGUUGUACGACUGUUUAAUUAAAACAAAGCACUUUGCAAAAAGAUGAUAAAUCUAAGUAUUGAGUGUGAUUUCUGCCCGAUGCCGGCUGGUUAACGAAUUAACUAAAUUUAUAAAGUUUGGUCUUAAAGGAAUCCCCGGUUAAUGGCGGCCUUAACGUGAGGGUCCUAAGGUAGCGAAAUGCCUUGGCCGUUAAAUGCGGUCUUGCAUGAAUGAUGUAACGAUACAACAGCUGUCUCUAUGAUUGACUCAGUGAAAUUGGAAUAACUGUGCAGAUACAGUUUACCUCUAGAUAGACGAGAAGACCCUAUGCAGCUUUACUGUUACUAAUUAUUGAGUAUGAUACCGUUAAAUUUUAGUAUAUAAGGUAAUUGAUUAAAUAAAAUUGAAAUACCUUUAUUUUUCGAUCAUAUUAUUUAACCUUAAAUUUUUAAUUUUUAGGCGUAAGCGUGUUAGUACGCUUUACAUCAGCCUAAAAUUUUAAUAGAAGGAACAAUUGCUAGGAGACAGUUUAUGCGGGGCACAGACCCCACAAAGAGUAAAUGGGUGUGUCUAAAAUAUUUACAUAUUUGUAAAAAUUGUUUUACAUUUUGUAUANUUUUUUUUAAUAAAUGAAUCUAUUUAUUAUUUGUUUGUUUGUUAGUUUUAGAUAGAAUUAAUUCUAUAUUUAAUCCUGUGUAUAUAUGGCAUGAAAAUAUUUUACGUUUUUAUUAUGUAAUUUAAUUAUAGGAAAUUAGGUAAGAUUUUAACUAUAGAGAAAUUAGAUGUAAUAAAAAUAUUAUUAGAACGUAAGCCUUAAGGCAGGUCUUUAAUAUUUAUAAUUAUUAUGAGCUCUAGCUGCAGCGACCUUUAAAGGUCGCUGAAUGGUAAUAAGCCUUAAUAAUAUUGUUUAUACUUAUCAAGUUUAAUGGCUUAAUCUUGCUUUACUGUUUGAUUAACAACAAAUCUUACAGUCGCGUAAGCGGGGCAUAGGAUCACAAGAUGCAAAAGGAAAGAUCUUGGAUUUUUGGAAAAGCUACGCUAGGGAUGUUUGUCCUUCAAUAUUUUAUAUGAAAUAUGUAUUAUAUAAAAUGAUUGAUAAUAAAUUGGGUUAAUUUCAAAAAUUACUCUUGAGAGAUGGCGGAUUUAGCCUAAGGCUAAAUUCCGUCAGUCAUAAAAGU
rnacentral:rRNA from 1 species